CCUACGGGAGGCAGCAGUGAGGAAUAUUGGUCAAUGGACGCAAGUCUGAACUAGCCAUGCCGCGUGCAGGAAGACGGCUCUAUGAGUUGUAAACUGCUUUUGUACGAGGGUAAACGCAGAUACGCGUCUCUGUCUGACAGUAUCGUAAGAAUAAGGAUCGGCUAAUUCCGUGCCAGCAGCCGCGGUAAUACGGAGGAUUCAAGCGUUAUACGGAUUUAUUGGGUUUAAAGGGUGCGUAGGCGGUCUGAUAAGUUAGAGGUGAAAUCCCAAGGCUCAACUUCGGAAUUUCCUCUGAGACUGUUCGGCUAGAGAGUAGAUGCGGUAGGUGGAAUGUAUGGUGUAGCGGUGAAAUGCUUAGAGAUCAGACAGAACACCGAUUGCGAAGGCAGCUUACCAAGCUACUUCUGACGUUGAGGCACGAAAGCGUGGGGAGCAAACAGGAUUAGAUACCCCUGUAGUC
rnacentral:rRNA from 1 species